CUACCUGCAGUCGACGGCAGCACAGGAGAGCUUGCUCUCUGGGUGGCGAGUGGCGGACGGGUGAGGAAUACAUCGGAAUCUACUCUGUCGUGGGGGAUAACGUAGGGAAACUUACGCUAAUACCGCAUACGACCUACGGGUGAAAGCGGGGGAUCUUCGGACCUUGCGCGAUUGAAUGAGCCGAUGUCGGAUUAGCUAGUUGGCGGGGUAAAGGCCCACCAAGGCGACGAUCCGUAGCUGGUCUGAGAGGAUGAUCACCCACACUGGAACUGAGACACGGUCCAGACUCCUACGGGAGGCAGCAGUGGGGAAUAUUGGACAAUGGGCGCAAGCCUGAUCCAGCCAUACCGCGUGGGUGAAGAAGGCCUUCGGGUUGUAAAGCCCUUUUGUUGGGAAAGAAAUCCAGCUGGCUAAUACCCGGUUGGGAUGACGGUACCCAAAGAAUAAGCACCGGCUAACUUCGUGCCAGCAGCCGCGGUAAUACGAAGGGUGCAAGCGUUACUCGGAAUUACUGGGCGUAAAGCGUGCGUAGGUGGUCGUUUAAGUCCGUUGUGAAAGCCCUGGGCUCAACCUGGGAACUGCAGUGGAUACUGGACGACUAGAGUGUGGUAGAGGGUAGCGGAAUUCCUGGUGUAGCAGUGAAAUGCGUAGAGAUCAGGAGGAACAUCCAUGGCGAAGGCAGCUACCUGGACCACACUGACACUGAGGCACGAAAGCGUGGGGAGCAAACAGGAUUAAAUACCCUGGUAGUCCCGCCCUAACGAUGCGAACUGGAUGUUGGGCGCAAUUGCG
rnacentral:rRNA from 1 species